rnacentral:rRNA from 1 species
UGGGGAAUAUUGGACAAUGGGCGAAAGCCUGAUCCAGCCAUGCCGCGUGUGUGAAGAAGGUCUUCGGAUUGUAAAGCACUUUAAGCGAGGAGGAGGGUACUGGUAUUAAUACUACCAGCUACUGGACGUUACUCGCAGAAUAAGCACCGGCUAACUCUGUGCCAGCAGCCGCGGUAAUACAGAGGGUGCGAGCGUUAAUCGGAUUUACUGGGCGUAAAGCGUGCGUAGGCGGCUAAUUGAGUCGGAUGUGAAAUCCCCGAGCUUAACUUGGGAAUUGCAUUCGAUACUGGUUAGCUAGAGUGUGGGAGAGGAUGGUAGAAUUCCAGGUGUAGCGGUGAAAUGCGUAGAGAUCUGGAGGAAUACCGAUGGCGAAGGCAGCCAUCUGGCCUAACACUGACGCUGAGGUACGAAAGCGUGGGGAGCAAACAGG